CCCGCGCGGUUGCUAGGUCCUCUGCUCGCGUCCUCGGGCACAGAAACAGCGCGGGCCGCUUCCACCGCUGAGCGGCGGCGGGGGAGACCGGUGGCUCGGGAGGGCUGGCCACCGCUCCCGGCGCCGCCCGCCCCGCUCCGCGGCCACCGCCCGCCUCUCCUCAGGCGCUCUCCUCGCACAUACCUCUGUGGGAGGGCCCAUCCUCGCCGCCCCGCCUGGCCGGCCACUGGCGGUGCUCCCUCUCGGGGAAUGGUUGCUUCCAGCUCCCCGCCGUAACGUCCCGCUCCUCCUCCCGCCGGUGCCGGGCUCGGAUGCUGCCAGCCGGGAGAGCCCCGCCGCGGCGUCCGUGAGGCGCCGGACGCUACCGGCCGGGCCCCGCGGCACCCCUGCGUCGCCUGGGAGGACCGGAGCGCCGACAGAAAAACACCCCUUUCUGUAUUUCUGAUGGUUUGGAUACAUUCCACAUACUUCCAAAGGGAGCUGCCCACCACUUUGGGAGCAUUAGAAGAGUCCAGGAGAUCAAGCCUGUCAGCAGUUAUUAGAUAUCUAUCCAUUCCAGAACUAAUAUUUGCUCCUACUAGAGAAUGAAAUGGUAUGACUGGAGUUUUAAAUAAUUCAGCUUUUCCAGCUUCAUCAUUUUCUGAGAACUUGGGACAGAAUUUUGGGCUCUACUUCUACGCUACUCUAGGUUAUAAUGCCAUCCUUGCCUAAUGAGAGAGAUAACCAUAGAACUGCUCCCCUGGCUUUGACUUCGGGACUACCCUAUCAAAGCACAAUUAAAAGAAAAGUCAGAAAGAAGAAGAAUGGAGUCAUCACUGCAAAUGUCGCUGGCACAAAAUAUGAAAUUGUACGUGUAGUAAUACGAGAAAUGGGAUUUGUGAAAACACGUGAUGAAGAUGAAACAGCUAAUCUUAUAUGGAGUGAUUCUGCUGUGCAACAAGAAAAGAUUGCUGAGCUUCGGAACUAUCAGAGAAUAAACCAUUUUCCAGGAAUGGGAGAGAUCUGCAGAAAGGAUUUUCUGGCAAGAAACAUGACUAAAAUGAUCAAGAGUCAGCCUCAGGAGUAUAGUUUUAUUCCUCGAACAUGGAUCUUCCCUGCAGAAUACACACAGUUUCAGAACUACGUAAAAGAACUGAAGAAGAAACGUAGACAGAAAACUUUCAUAGUCAAACCAGCUAAUGGUGCAAUGGGACAUGGGAUCUCUUUAAUAAGAAAUGCAGAAAAGUUACAAGCUCAGGAUCACUUGAUUGUUCAGGAAUAUCUUGACAAGCCAUUUCUUAUGGAAGGCUACAAGUUUGAUUUACGUGUGUAUAUUCUUGUCACCUCCUGUGAUCCAUUAAAAGUAUUUUUAUAUCAUGAUGGACUAGUGAGAAUGGGCACAGAAAAGUACCAUCCCCCCAGUGACUCAAAUUUGAGUCAAUUGUAUAUGCAUCUGACUAACUACUCUGUCAAUAAACAUAAUGAGCACUUUGAACGGGAUGAAACAGAAGACAAAGGAAGCAAACGCUCCAUAAAAUGGUUUACUGAGUUUCUACAAACAAAUAAUCUUGAUGUCUCCAAAUUCUGGGAUGAUAUUUCAGAGUUAGUAGUGAAGACUCUCAUAGUUGCAGAGCCACAUGUUCUUCAUGCUUAUCGCAUGUGCAGGCCGGGGCAAGCACCAGGAAGUGACAGUGUCUGCUUUGAAGUCCUGGGAUUUGAUAUUCUGCUGGACAGAAAACUAAAACCAUGGCUCCUAGAGAUUAAUCGUGCCCCGAGCUUUGGAACUGAUCAAAAAAUAGACUAUGAUGUAAAAAAAGGCGUUCUGCUAAAUGCAUUAAAGCUUCUCAACAUACGGACAAGUGAUAAAAGGAAAAAUUUAGCUCAACAGAAGGCUGAGUCUCAAAAAAGACUGUAUGGUCAAGGUUCAAUGAAAAAACUGUUGCCAGGUUCCUCAGACUGGGAGAGGCAGCGCCACACACUGGAAAGGAGAAAAGAAGAGCUGAAGGAAAGACUUGCACAAGUACGUAAACAGAUUUCCAAAGAGGAGCAUGAAAAUAGACACAUGGGGAACUACAGGCGAAUUUACCCUCCUGAUGAUAAGACAUUACUUGAAAAGUACGAGAGUUUGUUAGCCACUGCUUUCCAGACAUUUCUUGCUGGGAGGGCAGCUUCUCUUCAACGGGAAAUGAAUAACCCUUUAAAAAGAAUGAAGGAGGAGGACAUUUUGGAUCUUCUGGAGCAGUGUGAAAUAGAUGAUGAAAAGCUAAUGGAAAAGUGCACCAGGCAGCGAGGACCUAAGCCCCUGUAUUCAAUGCCAGAAAGUGCACAGCCCUUAAGGAAACUUAAGUACUACAAUAGUGAUAGUACCUGCGACAGCAGUAGCAGUAUUUCAGAAUCAGCAGAAGAAACUGAAAAGGAAGAUCAAAAGGAAGAUCACAAUGAAAAAAAAGAGAAAAAGGUUUCAUAUGAUCUUGAAGAAAAUAAAUACAAAUCUUUGGAACGAUCAGGUAGAACGAACUGGAAACCUUCAAUUAAAAAUACAAAAUCUCCAUCACAUUCAUCCCCCACAUCAUCCACAGGUCCAAUAAGACGUUCUGUAAGCUGCCCUCGUUCGAUAUCAAUAUUGACUAUGCAGUCACAGGCAGCUGAGCAACGUCCCUUGUCAGCAAAAACAUCUCUGCAAAUGCAGCGUGCAUCUUCAGUGAAUAGGUCUCAUUCUUUAAAUCGUAGCCCAACUUCGGCCAGAGUCUCUCAGGCAUCCAGCGUGGGAACUGUGAACUCUUCAGGGACUGUCAUCCCCUUUGGUAUCUCCUUCACAGUCCAGGCAUUUCUUCUUUUAUGUUUGCGUGAUGGACCACAUAUCCACUUAUCCCUGGGUAGCGUUUGCUGGGAUCAGUCCACAACCUCGUUCAGUACUGUACUGCGUGCUAGUGCCAGUGUAUUUCCAUUCAUGCUGUGGUGCCUGACCUAUAUAUUUCAUCACCCAAAUAAUUCAGGUGGAGAUGGGGAAAGCAAAUUGGAACUUUUCAUCCAUAUUUGCAGCCUUUCUCUAUUGUGGUGAGCUUUGAUUGUGAGAAAUCCUUUUGUAAUGCUAAUUAACUUGCUUCAUAGUGUUUACUAUCUCUAAUCAUCAUUUCUAUCCGGUAGAACGCUCAUUGUCUGUUUUGCCUGUGAGGUUUUGUCUAAAUGAUGAAAAAGGAUCCUUUUAAAAUUUUGUGCUGACAUCUUGUGAAAUACUCCUUAACAUGGUUUUCCAUCUUUAAAGUCAGCUAAUAGAAUUGGAAAGACAUUAGGAGUGUGUCUUCACCACAACGUGUUAAAGAGUGAGUCUUUGCUGCAACAGAAAACGAAAGAGCAAGAAAUGGCUUUGACAAAAGAGACUCUUCUCAUUAUCAGUGACAUGAGAAUGAAGUUCCCAGGAAAAACAGAUGAAGAAUCAGAAUUUAUUAUAGAAGAUAUCAUGGAUAACUGGAAGUAUCACAAAACAAAAGUGGCAUCUUAUUGGUUGAUAAAACUGGAUUCUGUAAAACAACGAAAAAUUUUGGAUAUAGUCAAGACAAGUGUUCAUGCCGUUCUACAGCAUGUCUGGAAGGCUCCAGACAUUGAAAAUUUACAUCUAUACCGUCUCUUUAACCGUGUAUUUAAUCGCUUACUUUGGAGCCAUGGUCAAGGCCUAUGGAACUGUUUCUGUAAUUCAGGGAACUCUUGGGAAACCAUACUGAGUAAAAGCACAGAGGUGGUGACUCCUGUGCAACUCCAGUGCUGCCAACGAAUAGUACAGCUUUGUAAACACUGCCUGCUGGUGGUUUACAAAUAUUCAUCAGACUCAAGAGGAUCCCCAACUGGGAAUAGCCCCCACUGGGAUGAUAGAAGGUGUUUAUUACCAGGACCUUCACUGUUCAUCAUGAAAUCAUCUUCGUCCAACAUUAGCUGCAGUUCAUCUGGAAUGUCUCACCCUAGCAUUUUGUUCACACACAGAUACAGUCACUUGUGAAGCAAAAGAAAAGUUGCUGUUCUUUGUAAAUAACGGCACUCCUUUUCUUUUUUCCUUUUUUUUUUCUUCUUUCUUUCAAAUUCAAAUUUGUGAUGGAGCUAAAUAUAAGCACUGUUACAUACUUACUACCAUAUUAUGAUAACAUUUAGCUGAAACCUACUGUAAAAGCAUAGCUUUCCUGGAAAGAUAAUAAACCUUGUUAAGUUGUUUACACACACAUGUGAAUGUGUAGAUCUUGCUAAAUUUAUAAGUAAUUCCUUCCUACUAGAAAUGUUAUUUUUGCUGCAGAAUAUAUAAAAUAGAGUUGAAGAUCCUAUUAUAGUGUCACAUUAUUUUGUAAGUACAAUACAUCGACUUGAAUAUUAUUUAUUGUAAAGCAUAUUUAUUGUCUCAAAUGUAACUGAUCUUUUAACAAGGCAAAUGAUUAAAAAAAUGUAAUAGAACAGUAAACUGUAACAAUCAGUGAAAAUAAUCUGCUAAUUUCUUGGACAUGUUCAAAAUAAUCCCCAAAACUCUGUAAACCAAACCUAAAGCAGACAUCUUUUUAUUUCUCCUCUGAAAUUACAAAAUCUAUUUAAUGCUGCUAUUUUUUAUAAGGGACCUGGUAUAGUAUCUUUUAGCCAAAGUGAAGACAUCUAGUACACAAACAAAAAAAAUAUCAGUUUAGGCAUUCGGUUUCUAAUUGGAUUCUUGUAAUAAAACGGAAGCCAAUGUUUGUUACCAGGUUUUCAUUCACAUUACCUAUGUCCUGUGCCUUUAAGUUUCUUUUGGGAGCAAGAAGUCAUGUUCAACUUGCACAAGCAUGCAUAGUGCAUAGUUUUUCUGUUUUACUGCACAAAUGGUAAAGCAGACACUUUUAGGAAAUACUGCAGCUAUAAUGUGCUAUUUCAACCUUAAACUUAUUGGUUUGUUGUAGUUUUUAGCAUACAAUUCAGUACCUACUGUAGAAUGUAUCCUUGGAAUGGACAGUAUUUUCUAGAUUUCUGACACCUUUACAUGCUGGAAAUCUAAUUCAUCAGAAAGCUCUCAUUCAGCUUCAGCGUCCUGGGCCUGGCUGAAAGGCACAAAAAGAAAACAAGCCAGAGCAGGAACCUAGUAUUUGCUCUAACAGGAUUUGUAACUGAAAACAUCAUUCAAGUUUUGCUACAUACAAUUCAUCCCACUCAGCAUUAUGCCAUGAGCCUUAUUCACUAUAGAAAUAAUUAUUAAAAAAAAUCAGUUAAAGUAGAUUUAAAAAUGGAUUUUUUUAACUGAGUAAAGGACAGAGUAGUUAUUAUUUACCAAAGACUUGUUUACUUACCAAUCAUGUAACCCUGAAACAUGUUUAUAAAUUAUCAAUAUAUUUCAGGUAUCCUCAGGAGCAAGUAUGUUAGAGGUUUUUGAUAUCCAGAGAUUUAAGACAAAUUUAAGAGACUUAAGAGAUGUGAGACUGGAGUUGUCUGGAAAUGAUUUUUUUUUAAACUUCAGUCAUUGCAUAUAUAAAACUGGGAAUUUGGGUGAGAUUUUUGAUGCCUGUGCUGUAGUGCCUCAGCUCUAGAACUGCAGGAUAUAUGAUAAUGAAAUUAUUUGUAAACAAUUAAAAAACCCUCUUGAUAUUAGCCAGAUAUAAGCAGUCUUCUGGUCUGGUAAAGUCUUCUUCAUUUUUGUGGUAAUACUCGUUUAGUAGCAUAGUACAUUCAUAAUAAUUGUAUAUCUCUUUUGGUCCGUACAGCGACCACUGAUAAAGCGCAUACUAUAGUUAUCUGUAAGACCUAAUAAAAGCUGUAAAUUCUCUCUUGGGGGAGACUUUCACUGCAUUCUGCUUUUGGCCAUAUGGAUAAAACCAGCUUCCAGCUUAGCUUGCCAGACUCAAACAGAGCCUUAGGAGAGUAGGUUCACAUGCUUUCCCUCCCCCCAACCCCUCUUUUUGGGUUUUCUUUUUCCUUCUUUUAAGUUACAUUAUGAUCUCUAUUUUCAGAAGCCAGUGCAGGGACAGUCAAUCUGUACAGAAUACUCUGUCAGCAGAAAGAGGGCUACUAACCAUACCUAUGUGGUAUGGUCAGAUCUAGAAAAGAAAAAAUACAUUUAGUGUGUACAAAAUUGGACCAGAUGGUUGGUUUGCAUCUGACAUUACUUACUAUAUUCAUAUUUCUGAUAACCUUGCCUAAAGUGGUACUAUGUUCCUAAUAAUGUGUGAAUCAAUACUUCCAAUAAAUGUAAUGCUACACUUUCCUGCCAGCUCCUCAGAA